UUGCACUGGAGGGAGAGCCACGUUUGUGCUGCUGCAUCGUGGCGCGUUUAUGAACUAAAGUUAAAGCGCUGGAAAUUACAGUUUCCGGUUCCGGCGGCUUGCGACGCUCUUUUUUUAUGAUGCGUUAUUUUUCCCCGUGGUCUCUGAUAAGCGAGAAAGAAGUAUCAGACUCGCAGAUCCGCGUGUGAGAGUCACUGCUGUUUGAGUGUUCCGUGAGGAAGAACUAACGUCUGCACUAAUAUGCAGCUUCUUGGAGCCUACAGCAUGGAUGUUGAAAGGCGCCGAUUGUUCCAGCAAGCGGGCUGCUGCAUCAGAAUCGUAUGAGCCGUUUGCGAAGGACGACUCCAAGGACGCAUGUAAGGUUCCUGCAGGAGACCAGACGUCGUCUACGUGGAUACGAGUCAAGUGCGAAGGGUAAGCAACAGCCAAGGAAUCGGUAGAAAGGAGGUCCUUGCAUGAUAAUACGGCUCACGGCACUUCUGUGAAGUACAAGAAGCAGCGCAACUCGGAUGUUUCUGCUCUUGCAUGUUGAUGCAUUGCAUUUAGGCACGAAUUACAGACAACUCGUCGAACGCUGGGGAUAUGCGUUUGAUUUUUUUCUGCCAAAGGACAACGAGCAACGUUUGUGCAGUUAAAAGAAGAGAAUACAUCAUGUGAGAAAAUUAAGUCUGCACACGGACAAAUAGAGAAGAAUGCGUUAGGUCAUCAAUAAAAAAACAUUAAACAGGAAGAAAAAAAAAA